rnacentral:rRNA from 1 species
GGAGUUUGGUCCGUGUCUCAGUACCAAUGUGGGGGACCUUCCUCUCAGAACCCCUACUGAUCGUUGCCCCGGUGGGCCGUUACCCCGCCGGCAAGCUAAUCAGACGCAUCCCCAUCCCUUACCGAUGAAUCUUUGCUCCUCGUUAGAUGCCUGCAAAAGGAGAACAUAGAGUAUUAAUCCGACUUUCGCCGGGCUAUCCUCUACUAAGGGGAAGGUUGGAUACGCGUUACUCACCCGUCGCGCCGGUCGCCAUCAACAAAAGAC